UUAUUAACAUGUAAAAUGCACUUUGCAGGUUCACCGCCAAAGCCUUGGGAGCGUUCUGGAGCUGAAGGAACAUCAGGCCCAGCACCUUUCAAGCCCCCAUCUGGUGGAAGCACCAGCGAUGUUGUUGAAGCUUCUGGUACCGCUAAACCUGGCGAAAAUGUUACUGCGACAGAGAGGAAUGUCUCUGCUAAUGUAAAUAGCACUGUUUCGAGGCCUGUGCCACAGCGGCCUUGGCAGCAGACAGGCUAUGGAAACACCUAUGGAGGAUAUGGUGGAUCUAACAUGUAUAGUUCAUAUGGUGGAUUCGGUAACACUUAUGGUAGCGGCGGGCUCUAUGGAAAUAGCAUGUACUCGAGUUACGGAGGAGGUUAUGGUGGUGGCAUGUACGGUGGUGGGAUGUAUGGAGGAGGCAUGUAUGGUGGUGGGAUGGGAGGUUAUGGUGGUUACGGCAUGGGCGGAAUGGGUGGUAUGGGUAUGGGUCCAUACGGUAAUCAGGAUCCAAAUUCAAUGGGCCCUCCUGCAUCCCCGCCAGGUUUCUGGAUGUCCUUCCUACGAGUGAUGCAUGGUGUUGUCAAUUUCUUCGGGCGAAUCUCAUUCCUUGUUGAACAGAACACUCAGGCAUCCUAUUUUUUCAUGACAGCAAUGCUGCAGCUCUUCGAUCGGUCUGGUAUGCUCUAUGGUGAACUUGCACGGUUUGUGUUGCGUUUGCUAGGAGUCAAAAGAAAGCCAAAGAAGGGCAGCCUUCAGGGACCUCAAACGCAGGCAUUCGAGGGACCUAGCCAACAGUUUGUCGAGGCACCAAAAGCAAACAACUGGGACAACGUUUGGGGAAACUAAGAUGCCUACGAGUGGAAUGAGUUCAAUCAUAUAGAAACGUACAGUUUAAGGAGCAAGGGCUAUGGCAGUUUUGCCUGCUGGAUCACAAGGAAGAAGAGUGUGGUCAGAUAUCCUUUUGUGGCAACAACUAGGGGAAGUUGCGAAGAAUUGCUGGGUCUCUUCUGCUUUUCACAACUUUUCGUUAAUGUACCUGUGAGGGGUGUGGCCAAUGACCACGGGUAUGGUAGGGUUGAGAGCUACCCUCGCUUCCCACCCUCCAGUGUCUCAUCCACUCCACGGACAAACACAUCUCUUUCCCUGCGCGCACUUCCAUUCCAUGGACAAAUAAUUGAAUUCCGGUCGCUUUGUCUGUCUGUACAUGCAGAUUGCACAAGGCUCCAAGGGCGAGCACCCUCAUCUCUUAUACGAGUAUUACUCUCGCCUCCACCACACCCUCCAUCCAUUUCUUGGUCUCCACACGCUUUGUCCGUUCUGCUGCAAGUGGAUCGAAGAAGAAGCGCAGGUGUUGAUCGAGGAGCCUGCUGCCGAUCGACGACGGACGACGCCAGCAUGGGGGAGAUCACCAAUGUCAUGGAGUACCAGGCGAUCGCGAAGCAGAAGCUUCCGAAGAUGGCCUACGACUACUACGCGUCUGGAGCUGAGGACGAGUGGACGCUAAAGGAGAACAGGGAGGCCUUCUCCAGGAUCCUGUUCCGUCCACGCAUACUGAUCGACGUGUCCAAGAUCGACAUGACCACCACCGUGCUGGGAUUCAAGAUCUCCAUGCCUAUCAUGGUUGCCCCCACUGCUAUGCAGAAGAUGGCUCACCCAGAUGGAGAGUACGCCACAGCACGCGCCGCAGCUGCAGCAGGCACUAUAAUGACACUGUCAUCCUGGGCAACUUCAAGCGUUGAGGAGGUUGCCUCAACUGGACCAGGGAUCCGAUUCUUUCAGCUCUAUGUCUACAAGGACAGGAAAGUGGUGGAGCAGCUUGUGAGGAGAGCUGAAAGGGCUGGGUUCAAGGCCAUCGCGCUCACCGUCGACACCCCGCGCCUCGGCCGCAGGGAGGCUGACAUCAAGAACAGAUUUGUUCUGCCACCACACCUGACACUGAAGAACUUCGAAGGUCUGGACCUCGGCAAAAUGGACCAGGCAGCUGAUUCAGGGCUGGCUUCCUACGUCGCCGGCCAAGUCGACCGCACCCUGAGCUGGAAAGACGUCAAGUGGCUGCAGACCAUCACCACGAUGCCGAUCCUCGUCAAGGGAGUGAUCACCGCUGAAGACACGAGGCUUGCGGUGGCGAACGGCGCGGCGGGGAUCAUCGUGUCGAACCACGGCGCGCGGCAGCUGGACUACGUGCCGGCCACCAUCAGCGCGCUGGAGGAGGUCGUGAAGGCGGCCCGGGGCCAGAUCCCCGUCUUCCUCGACGGAGGCGUCCGCCGCGGCACCGACGUCUUCAAGGCGCUCGCCCUCGGCGCCGCCGGCGUAUUCGUCGGGAGGCCGGUGGUUUUCUCCCUGGCGGCGGCGGGCGAGGCCGGGGUGUCCAACGUCCUGCGGAUGCUGCGGGACGAGUUCGAGCUCACCAUGGCGCUCAGCGGCUGCACCUCCCUCGCCGACAUCACCCGCAACCACAUCAUCACCGAGUCCGACAGGCUCCGCGUCAUGCCGUCGCGCUUGUAGAUGAUCAAUAAUCAAUCACCUGCUACGCUACGCCGCCGGCUGCCCACCUCGCGAGGCUCGCUCGCCGCCGGCCGGCCGCGAACGAAGACUUAUCACCCCGAUCGGGGAUAUUCAGUUUCGUGCAUGUAUGCAUGGAUGCUCGAUGACGAUGAUACUAUUAAUUCUGGACUGCAUAUAUGUUUUGUUUCAUAAAAAGAUCCGAUCACUGUACUGUAAAAUCUUACUACAGAUUACAUGCAUGGUGUGGUGCAUCUUCAUUAAUUAAUUGUUAAUAAUGGCGCAUGAUGAUCGCUGUAUUUGGUCAGAAAA